GAUCGUCGUAUAUGAAGUCUUAUUUCUAAAACAAAGCUUGAAAAAUGGCUUCACCACCUCAAAAACUGAAGUUUGAAGCAAACGGAUCUCGUUUAAGUAAACUUUUUGAUAAAUAAAGGAACACAAACCUUAAAACAACAUUGCAAAUAAUUAUAAAUCUUCAAUCAUCAAACUUAAAAGAUAAACUUAAUGAUCCUUCUACAAAGAGUAAAUUGACACCACUAAAAUUCAAAGUCAUCAGCAAAGAGCAAUGGACCCUUCUUUACCCGUCAACUGGCUCACCUGACAUUGAAAACUUUGACAUCACAUUAUUGACUGUCUUAUUGCGUAACAUAUGUGGUCUAACAACGCCACAUGGUGGAUGGAAUAAUCUUCCUUCCUCUUCAGAUACUUCAACCUCAGCAAACAUUGCAAGAAUAAAGUUUUAUCGAAACAAAGUGUAUGGUCACGUAACCAAAACUAGUUUAGAUGAUAGUGACUUUGAGUACUUGUGGCAGGAAAUUUCAAAAGCAUUGGUUGGUCUGGGUAUUCAACAAUCUGAAAUAGAUGA